GCACAAGCGGAGGAACAUGUGGUUAAUUCGAUGAUACGCGAGGAACCUUACCUGGCUUAAAUGUAGAGUGCAUUUUUUAGAGAUAGAAAUUCCCUUCGGGGCUUUCUGCAAGGUGCUGCAUGGUUGUCGUCAGCUCGUGCCGUGAGGUGUCGGGUUAAGUCCCAUAACGAGCGCAACCCUUAUCGUUAGUUGCCAUCUGGUAAUGCAGGGGACUCUAGCGAAACUGCCACCGUAAGGUGAGAGGAAGUGGGAUGACGUCAAAUCAGCACGGCCCUUAUGUCCAGGGCUACACACGUGUUACAAUGGUCGGUACAGAGGGCAGCUACCUGGUGACAGGAUGCUAAUCUCGAAAACCGGUCUCAGUUCGGAUCGAAGUCUGCAACUCGACUUCGUGAAGCUGGAUUCGCUAGUAAUCGCGCAUCAGCUAUGGCGCGGUGAAUACGUUCCCGGGCCUU
rnacentral:rRNA from 1 species